CAGUUUUGUAUUUUACAAAACUCAAAUCAACAAAUUUUACCAAAAAGAUUUUGUUAAUCAAAUAUCUUAGAUCCUCAAAAUCUCUCACAUAUAUAUUUUAAGACAGACUCUAUUUGUAUUAUAGUUGAUAUACUGUAUAUUUCAAGGGGAGAAUUCUAAUUGUUGGAAGCGCGCCCUCUCGUGUUGACAUUUGGGAUUGACUUCAAGCAGUGAAACUUGAAUAUUUGAAUUGAGAUUGAAGUACCCACUAGAUGGCAGCACAUAACAAUUUUUCCCCCUUUUACCUGCAUGAAAGUUCAACGUGAUUUUUUUCUUUCUUUCACGUUUCAGUAAUUUUCUUUUGUAGUUAAAAUAUAAAUUAAAGUGAAACAGUCUAAUAUGUUAAAGUAAAUAUGUUUAAAAGAAAUACAACAUUAUGAUUAUCAAGUUGAUACAAGUGAAAAAAAUCCAACAGAUCAUUCGAAAUGUGAAAUUGUGUCACUGUUUCCUGUUUGUCUGGUGGCCAGGGAUAGGGCGCGUCCCCUAGUGGAGCUAUUCUGCCAUCCCAGUUGGAAAAGACCUACAGCUCAAAGGAAAAGAAAAGCAACAGCAGGGGGUGCGGUUGUUCAGAGUUUCACUGACCUUUCAAAGAAGAGCGGAGCAAAUGGCAGAGGGACGAGUCAGGAGAGGGGGGACGGAAGACGUCGCUUGAGGAGGCGGUCUCCAGAAAUACGAGGUGGGGCGGUGCUAAUUAAAAAGGGGUUUUUACUGGGAGUAAAAACCAGAUGUUAAUGGAACAUACUGCCAUCUGGUGCCACGACGUGACUGGAGACGUUUCCUGUUUAUCUGGAUGAAAGGUGUGUGCGAGGUGGGGGCUGUGAUUUCCCUGGAUCAGUUUGACGUCUCAUCAUUUCAGCAGCAGUGACUGAUGAACAGCUGGUCUUUGGCCAAAUCAGUGAGGUCAAAGGUCAAGAGCAGCAACAACAACAACAGCCACAAGGACUUGUGCAAGGACGGACACUACAAGAACCUUCUGUUUUCCACAAGGACGUCUCAGACUAACAGCAGCGUCGCUCAGCUCUCCGUGCCUUCCUGCGUCUGCGCUAACCCAGCUCCCUCCUCCAGUCUCUCGUGGUCAAAGCGGUGGUUCCGGCAGCUCGAUGAAUAAUAUGACUCUCCACGGGAAAACUGAUGAGUCAUGGACCCGCCCACUGGUCACAGUCCAGUCCUCCACGCUGGGCGCUGCGUCCCCCCCCCGUGGGUGAGUUAGUGGCACUUUUGGUCAACGCUCCUCCAUAUGGCCUCUCUGUCAGAACAGUUCCAGGAUUGUUCCAGGUUCACCCUGUGGUCCCGACUCCAAGUGGAGCUCACUCAUCCUGGGCCAGGGAGAGAGGGGGAGACAGAGAAAGGGUGAGACAGAGAAAGGGUGAGAGAGA